CCUACGGGAGGCAGCAGUGGGGAAUAUUGCACAAUGGGGGAAACCCUGAUCCAGCGACGCCGCGUGAGUGAAGAAUGAUUUCUGUAUGUUAAGCUCUAUCAGCAGGGAAGAAGAAAGCCGAUACCUGACUAAGAAGCCCCGGCUAACUACGUGGCAGCAGCCGCGGUAAUACGUAGGGGGCAAGCGUUAUACGGAUUUACUGGGUGUAAAGGGAUCGUAGACGGCUGUGCAAGGCUGAAGGGAAAGCCCAGGGCUCAAACCUGGGAUUGCUUUGGAACCUGUGGAGCUAGAGUGCUGGAGAGGUAAGUGGAAUGCCUAGUGUAGCGGUGAAAUGCGUAGAUAUUAGGAGGAACACCAGUGGCGAAGGCGGCUUACUGGACAGUAACUGACGUUGAGGCUCGAAAGCGUGGGGAGCAAACAGGAUUAGAUACCCUGGUAGUC
rnacentral:rRNA from 1 species